rnacentral:rRNA from 1 species
UUGCGGUGAAUACGUUCCCGGGUCUUGUACACACCGCCCGUCAACCAUGAAAGUGACUAACACCCGAAGUCCGAUUCGUCGGCCUAAGGUGAGGGCAUGAUUGGGGUU